UACGUAGGGGCCAAGCGUUGUCCGGAUUUAUUGGGCGUAAAGAGCUCGUAGGCGGUUGGGUAAGUCGGGUGUGAAAACUCCAGGCUCAACUUGGAGAUGCCACCCGAUACUGCUCUGACUUGAGUUCGGUAGGGGAGUGGGGAAUUCCUGGUGUAGCGGUGAAAUGCGUAGAUAUCGGGAGGAACACCAGUGGCGAAGGCGACUACCUGGCCUGUUCUUGACGCUGAGGCGCGAAAGCUAGGGGAGCAAACGGG
rnacentral:rRNA from 1 species